rnacentral:lncRNA from 1 species
ACUCUCGACGCUGAUGGACACAGCGCUUAAGUCAAACAGACCUGCCCUUGGCUCAUGGCAUCCAUGCCCAGGGAAGCAAGGCAGGCCAGGGGAUGAAGAUACGAUGAACCCCAUCUCUGCGACCACCCAGAAUAAAGGGGAUACGUCCCAGCCUCCCUUGCAGCGAGGUGUGGCUAAAGAGUGGGUUCUGACCAGCAGGAUGGAAGCAGAAGGGCUAAGUGACAUCACCCUUGAAAGACGGGUGCCACCUGUCCCCUCUUCCCCUUAUGACUUAGGGCUAGCUGGACUGUCGACAUCUUGGCAGAGGCAACCCUGGACUACGAACACAUAUUGAAAAUGUCUGGACAACAGAUGAAGGAGCCUCAGUCUACUAUCCAGUCCCAGGCCGUCCACUUCUCUAUGGAGCUGUAGAAAGAGCUCUCUCUCCUUCUUACUAAUCCGGGAGUCACACUGCGGACUCUGGCUACACCUAACAGCCUUGCCUCGGUAGCCAGAGAGCUCACGUUAGGAACAGACAGCGGGCCUGGGCUCGGCUGUAUACUCUUGGUGUUUUGUUUUUGUUUUUUUUUUCGAGACAGGGUUUCUCUGUAUAGCCCUGGCUGUCCUAGAACUUACUCUGUAGACCAGGCUGGCCUCGAAAUCAGAAAUCCACCUGUCUUUGCCUCCCAAGUGCUAGGAUUAAAGGCGUGCGCCACCACUGCCCAGCUCAGCUUUAUAUUCUUAGCACGCACACACACACACAUAUUAGAAAGUUUCUUCCCCUUCCUGGGCCUGAGUGUCUACUGUAUAGAAUAGCAGCCCACUCAGGUUGUCAAACUGUUCAGUGUCCCCGUCCCUCCAAGCCUUUGACACCUGCAAAGUCUCUUUCCUACAGGGAGAGUACUUGGGAGCAGGGUCCUCUCAGGUCACAGGCUAGACCUGGCUACCAGGUUUGAACUUCCUGCUGCCUACCCAGAUGCAGCCUCAAGGCCAGCUGUGCAGAGAAAAUCCGGUGCUGGGCUGUGUUUAGCCUCUGAGGGAAGAGCAGUUUGCA